rnacentral:lncRNA from 1 species
AUUCACCAGCCCACUAGUAUCCAUGGGGAUCCAUAGGGGUCCCGCUACCCGUUAAUCCUUAACACUUGAAAUCAAAUUCCAGGGCCGUCCCCAUACCCCGUCCGGUAUGGGCGCCAAAACACAUAAGAUCUCCAUACCCCGUCCGGUAUGGGAGACCACAAUCCCGGUAGGGUUCCCUACGGACCCGGUCCGUCCACCAUCUCCCAGGAUAUCUAGUCAGGCUGACCACAUUAUACCAUUAUCCAUUUACAUAAUUGUUCAUUCUCUUUUUCCUCAGUCAGCAUCAUUAAGCAAGCAAAACGAUAAUUUAUGCUAAGCAGACAACAUACAGCAUCAAUAUCCCGGUCAUUU